CGUGUAGGCGGCCGUCUAAGUCGGGUGUGAAAUCCCUCGGCUCAACCGAGGAAUUGCAUUCGAUACUGGUCGGCUAGAGUGCGGUAGGGGCAAGUGGAACUCCAGGUGUAGCGGUGAAAUGCGUAGAUAUCUGGAGGAACGCCGGUGGCGAAAGCGACUUGCUGGCCCGCAACUGACGCUGAGGCGCGAAAGCUAGGGGAGCGAACG
rnacentral:rRNA from 1 species